rnacentral:rRNA from 1 species
GAUGAACGCUGGCGGCGUGCCUAAUACAUGCAAGUCGAGCGAACAGACGAGGAGCUUGCUCCUCUGACGUUAGCGGCGGACGGGUGAGUAACACGUGGAUAACCUACCUAUAAGACUGGGAUAACUUCGGGAAACCGGAGCUAAUACCGGAUAAUAUAUUGAACCGCAUGGUUCAAUAGUGAAAGACGGUUUUGCUGUCACUUAUAGAUGGAUCCGCGCCGCAUUAGCUAGUUGGUAAGGUAACGGCUUACCAAGGCAACGAUGCGUAGCCGACCUGAGAGGGGGAUCGGCAACACUGGAACUGAGACACGGCCCAGACUCCUACGGGAGGCAGCAGUAGGGAAUCUCCCGCAAUGGGCGAAAGCCUGCCGGAGAAACGCCGCGUGAGUGAUGAAGGUCUUCGGAUCGUAAAACUCUGUUAUUAGGGAAGAACAAAUGUGUAAGUAACUAUGCCCGUCUUGACGGUACCUAACCAGAAAGCCACGGCUAACUCCGG